GACGAACGCUGGCGGCGUGCUUAACACAUGCAAGUCGAACGGAAAGGCCCUGCUUUUGUGGGGUGCUCGAGUGGCGAACGUGUGAGUAACACGUGAGUAACCUGCCCUUGGCUUUGGGAUAACUUCAGGAAACUGGGGCUAAUACCGGAUAGGAGCUCCUGCUGCAUGGUGGGGGUUGGAUAGUUUCGGGGGUUGGGGAUGGACUCGCGGGUUAUCAGCUUGUUGGUGGGGUAGUGGCCUACCACGGCGUUGAAGGGUAGCCGGCCUGAGAGGGGGGCCGGCCCACCUGGGACUGAGAUACGGCCCAGACUCCUACGGGAGGCAGCAGUGGGGAAUAUUGCACAAUGGGCGCAAGCCUGAUGCAGCGACGCCGCGUGAGGGAUGACGGCCUUCGGGUUGUAAACCUCUUUCACCAGGGACGAAGCGUAAGGGACGGUAACUGGAGAAAAAGCACCGGCCAACUACGUG
rnacentral:rRNA from 1 species